rnacentral:tRNA from 1 species
UCCGACGUAGCGCAUGGGCGCGAUCUGCAUGUAGAGCAGGCGGAGGGUCAGGAUGACCUCGACGUCGAUCUCUUCGCCGGUAUCGGGA